rnacentral:lncRNA from 1 species
UGGUUAAAAGAUCCAAAAAUUACUUUUGAAUGAUAAAAUAAAUAGAAAAGAUAAAUAUCUAAAAUGAUUCUAAAAUUAUUUAAAUAUAAUUUUUUUUAUUUUUUAUUUUUUAAUCUUAAUAAAAUAUAGAGUGGUUUCUCCCUUAUUUUUCAUAAAAAAGUAUAAUGUCUAUUAUAUUUUUGCCUAAAAUUUAUCCAUUGACUUUCUUAUUUCUUAUAAAAUUGUCUUCAUGUCAUUAGACAAGGAUGAAGAUGAGAGAAGAUUAAUCUAAAGAAAUUAAGAAAGUAUAAGAAAGCUGAAAAAAGAGGAUGUGGAUAGAGAUGAGAGGAGAUUAAUUUAAGCAAAAAAAAUUUUGAUAUAAAGAAAAUCAGAUAAAAAAAGAUAUAGAUGAAGAUGAGAGGAGAUUAUCAGAGACGUCGAUGGAGAUGAGAGCAAAUUAAUUUGAAGAAAAAAGAGUCCUCGUAGAUAAGAAAGUGAAAAAAAGAAAAUAUGUGAGGAUAUUGAGAGGGUAACACAUAAUUUUUCUUAAAAAAACUAACUUUCCGCUAAUGGAUACUUAGUAUAUAGUGCUACGCCAACAAAAAGAGGGGAGAUGUCAGCUUUAUAUAAAUCACAUUUUGAAAAAUAUUAAAUAAGUUACAGAAUUACUUUUGGAUUAUAGCAAAAUACUCAAAAUUUUAUUUUUAAAUUUGAAAUCAUUUUUGGCAAAUGCAAAUACACCCCAAGAUAUACAUUGAGAGGAAUUUUUUUUUUUACUUACUCCUACAUUUUUCUUGAUUACAGUCACAUUCUUAAUAAUAAUAAUAAUAAUAAUAAUAAUAAUAAUAAUAAUAAUAAUAAUAAUAAUAAUAAUAAAUAUUAUUCAUAAUAUUUAUUAAUAAUAAUAAUAAAUAAUAUCAAAUAACUAAUAUACAUCUAAUUUAAAUAUUAAAAAUUAUUUUAAUAAUAUUAUUUUAUUGAGUUAUAAUGCAUACCAUAAAUAAUUUAAUAUUAUCAUAAUAAUAAUAAUAAUAUACAAUAACAUGAUAAGUGAAUGGCUAGAUUCAAUAAUGAGAGUGUGAUGUCACCGUGAUAACAAUGAAAGUGGGGAAUGGAAAUAGCCGACUAGGAUUAACCAUACAGUUACUUAAUGUUCGAUCAUUUUAUUGAAUGUUAUUUUAAAUUUAGCUUGUGCAUAUUUUUUAUGCCUAGGCUUACUAAAGUAGGCCAAUGUUUGGCACAUGUACUCAAUGUUUCGAUCCAUCAAAUCGACUUGACCUGCUAGAUCAUUUGACUAAUAAGUUUAUAGCUCAACCAUAGGCCAAUUAUGAUUCUAUCAUGACCCUAAACUAAAAGACAUUGAUGGUCUGUGAUAUAAAGAACUCAACCACUUAAAUAAUUAAUACUCUAGAAACAUUUGAGUUUUUUAUUUGAAUAUUGUUAAUGUUAUUUUGUGAUCUACAUGCCUAUUGUUUGACCACUGGUCAAUUAUGAUUUCAUCAUGACCCUGAACCAAAAGGCAUUGAUAGUCCAGAAUGUGAUACAAAGAACUCAACCACUAAAAUAAUUAAUACUCCAAAAAUAUUUUAGUUUUUUGUUUAAGUACAAAACUAUCUAACUUCGUAACAUUAUUUUAUUCAGAGGACACUUGAAAAUAAUGAGUUCUUUAUUUAUAAGCAAUCAUUGAAAUCACUCCUAGAUGAGAAAUCUCAGUCCCAAAUCUAAAGUGAAUAAUUUGAUCAAAAAUACUUUGUCUAUCCAAAACUACAAAGAAUAAAACCAUUAGAAUGGUCAUCGUCGUCGUCCUCAUCAUUUUAUUUUACUAUGAAGAUUAUUAUCAAUAAAUUAGAGUUUGAUUUAACCUUUAAAAGAAGACAGUGUCUUAAAUAGCUCACAAAAUGUAUAACUUAAAUGUAUUAACAUACAUAGAGAAGCCGGUUAUACUGGCUAUGAAAAAACAAACUCUUUAUUGAUUGGGGCAAAUACACUCCCAUGGGCAUAUAAUGCUUCUUGAUUUAAGGUAUUUAAAUUGACUUUUCACUAAAUAAGGUACACAAACUGCCAUAAUUUAGGGCACAAAAUGGCAUCAAUAUCAAAGGCCAACAAAUCAUUUUUGUUGGCCAAGACAAUAAUCAUAAAUAUAAUACCAACCUCAAAAUGUCUGUAACAUUGAAAUAAAAAUAAUUUUAACAUAGAUAAAAAGUUUCAGAAUUUAAUUAACAACAUUAUUUUGAUUAUCACAUUUCAAGUUUAUAAAUAAAAAUAUUGACCAAUGAAGGUCAUGCUGAACAAAAAUAAGUUGACAGUAAAAUUCUUAUAUAAAUUAACAGAAUUUCAUAUGCAUAUAUAAUUUUAUCGUAUAAACACAUCAUAUAUAUAAUUCAUGACAAAGCAAAGUAAAGCACAAUGAAGGAUCA